UUGAAGCGAUUUUCGUACCAGACGCCUGUUCGCUAUGGUCAAGUAAUUAGAUUAAAUUAAAAUUAAGAUAAAAAUUCGAUGAAAAGACAAAAGAUUAUGAAGAAUCAAUAGAAGUUUCAAUAUCUCGUGAUUUAGAUAAAAAACGCACGCGAUUGUAUAUUUUGUUUUGAUUAGCUUCUAUUGGGCUGCCAAGCUACGUUAACUGUAAUGAAGUGAAGCUAUUCUUACCAUUAUGAUGCAAAGCUGUCAUCACUACUCAAAAACAUUCAAAAAAGUUUUUAUUUUAAAGUAAAAAAUAAACUUUCUAUUGAGGAAUAAAAACAUUGAGUAAAAAUUUGUUAAUCUCUUUUUAUUUGUAUGUAAAAUCUCGCACAAUUACUCAGUAAUUGUAAGACAUUUUGUUCUACAUACAAUUAUAAAAUAUAUGUUCUUGGUCUGG